AUUGAACGCUAGCGGGAUGCUUUACACAUGCAAGUCGAACGAGUGGCGGACGGGUGAGUAAUAUAUCGGAACGUGCCCAGUAGAGGGGGAUAACUACUCAAAGGAGUGGCUAAUACCGAAAAAUAUUGGAGCGGCAGAUAUGGGAUUAGCUAGUUGGUGGGGGAAGGGCCACCCAAGGCAACGAUCCGUAGCUGGUUGGAGAGGACGACCAGCCACACUGGGACUGAGACACGGCCCAGACUCCUACGGGAGGCAGCCGUGGGGAAUUUUGGACAAUGGGGGAAACCCUGAUCCAGCCAUCCCGCGUGUAUGAGAAGGCCUUCGGGUUGUAAAGUACUUUUGGCAGAGAAGCGGUAUCUGCAGAAUAAGCACCGGCUAACUACGUGCCAGCAGCCGCGGUAAUAC
rnacentral:rRNA from 1 species